UAACACCAUAAGAGACGAGAAGGUUCUCACUAAGGAUCUGGGAGGAAAGUGCUCAGAGUUUAGAACUGAUAUCUGCCAUCGUCAUCGUUUUCAUUAUUGUUUUAAAUCGAAUGUCAUGUUUCCAAUGGUCCUUGAUCUACUCACAGCACCGUGACGGAGACGUUUAAUCACACGACGAUAUUUUCCUGCAGCUACAACUCAACAAAUCCCAGUUCUCAGUGAGGUGGUGUCUUCAGAUCAAGAUAAACUACAACUUCCAGCCUAUAAAAUGAUUUGGAGAAGGAAUGUUUUGACGCCUCCAACAUUUUUGAUCAUCGUGAUAAAAGUCUUCACUGGUCAAACUCUAACAUGUCAUCCAGCAGAAUAUCAGAUCAGGAAUGAAUGCUGUCCAAUGUGUCCUGCAGGUAAGAUCCAACUGGAUG